rnacentral:rRNA from 1 species
GACGAACCGUGCGAACGUUGUUCGGAAUCACUGGGCUUAAAGGGCGCGUAGGCGGGUUCGCAAGUCAGGGGUGAAAUCUUUCAGCUUAACUGGAAAACAGCCCCUGAUACUGCGAGUCUCGAGGGAGGUAGGGGCAUGUGGAACUUCCGGUGGAGCGGUGAAAUGCGUAGAUAUCGGAAGGAACGCCGGUGGCGAAAGCGACGUGCUGGACCUCUUCUGACGCUGAGGAGCGAAAGCGUGGGGAGCGAACAGG